rnacentral:rRNA from 1 species
GAUGAACGCUGGCGGCGUGCCUAAUACAUGCAAGUCGAGCGAACGGACGAGAAGCUUUCUUCUCUGAUGUUAGCGGCGGACGGGUGAGUAACACGUGGAUAACCUACCUAUAAGACUGGGAUAACUUCGGGAAACCGGAGCUAAUACCGGAUAAUAUUUUGAACCGCAUGGUUCAAAAGUGAAAGACGGUCUUGCUGUCACUUAUAGAUGGAUCCGCGCUGCAUUAGCUAGUUGGUAAGGUAACGGCUUACCAAGGCAACGAUGCAUAGCUGACGUGAGAGGCUGAGCGGCCACACUGGAACUGAGACACGGUGCCGACUCUGAAGGGAGGCAGCAGUGGGGAAUAUGGGACAAUGCGCGCAAGCCUGAUCCAGCCAUACCGCGUGGGUAAAGAAGGCCUUCGUGUUGUAAAACCCUUUUGUUGGGAAAGAAAAGCAGCAGGUUAAUACCCCGCUGGUCUGACGGUACCCAAAGAAUAAGCACCGGCUAACUUCGUG